GACGAACGCUGGCGGCGUGCUUAACACAUGCAAGUCGAACGGAAAGGCCCUGCUUUUGUGGCGUGCUCGAGUGUCGAACGGAUGAGUAACACGUUAGUAACCUGCCCUUGACUUUGGGAUAACUUCAGGAAACUGGGGCUAAUACCGGAUAGGAGCUCCUGCGGCAUGGUGGGGGUUGGAAAGUUUCGGCGGUUGGGGAUGGGCUCGCGGCUUCUCAGGCUGUUGGUGGGGGAGUGUCUUACCACGGCUUUGACGGGUAGCAGGCCGGAGAGGGUGACCGGCAACAUUGGGACUGAGAUGAGGCCGCGAAUCCUACGGGAGGAAGCAGUGGGGAAGAAUGUACAGUAGGCGGAGGAAUGAUGAAGGAACGACGCGUGGGGGAUGACGACGGUCGGCUUGUCAUGCGCUUUUGCUUGCGAAGAAGAGAGAGUGACGGUAACGGGUAAAGAAGCACCGGCUAACUCCGUG
rnacentral:rRNA from 1 species